GACGAACGCUGGCGGCGUGCUUAACACAUGCAAGUCGAACGGUGAAGGGACUGGUUUUGCUGGUCCUGGAUGAGUGGCGAACGGGUGAGUAACACGUGAGUAACCUGCCCCCUUCUUCUGGAUAACCGCAUGAAAGUGUGGCUAAUACGGGAUAUUCUGGGUCUGUCGCAUGGUGGGCCUGGGAAAGAUUGCGCCUUUUUUGGUGUUUUUGGUGGGGGAUGGGCUCGCGGCCUAUCAGCUUGUUGGUGGGGUGAUGGCCUACCAAGGCGGUGACGGGUAGCGGGCCUGAGAGGGUGGACGGUCACACUGGGACUGAGACACGGCCCAGACUCCUACGGGAGGCAGCAGUGGGGAAUAUUGCACAAUGGGCGCAAGCCUGAUGCAGCGACGCCGCGUGAGGGAUGGAGGCCUUCGGGUUGUGAACCUCUUUCGCCAGUGAAGCAGGCCUGCCUCUUUUUGUGGGUGGGUUGACGGUAGCUGGAUAAGAAGCGCCGGCUAACUACGUG
rnacentral:rRNA from 1 species